UACGGGGGGGGCAAGCGUUGUUCGGAAUUACUGGGCGUAAAGGGCUCGUAGGCGGCCAACUAAGUCGGAUGUGAAAUCCCCAGGCUUAACCUGGGAAUUGCAUCCGAUACUGGAUGGCUUGAAUCCGGGAGAGGGAUGCGGAAUUCCAGGUGUAGCGGUGAAAUGCGUAGAUAUCUGGAGGAACACCGGUGGCGAAGACGGCAUCCUGGACCGGCAUUGACGCUGAGGAGCGAAAGCCAGGGGAGCAAACGGG
rnacentral:rRNA from 1 species